GCAGAGCAUCCUACGGGAGGCAGCAGUGGGGAAUAUUGCACAAUGGGCGCAAGCCUGAUGCAGCCAUGCCGCGUGUAUGAAGAAGGCCUUCGGGUUGUAAAGUACUUUCAGCAGUGAGGAAGGUGGGUAUGUUAAUAGCAUACUCAUUUGACGUUAGCUGCAGAAGAAGCACCGGCUAACUCCGUGCCAGCAGCCGCGGUAAUACGGAGGGUGCGAGCGUUAAUCGGAAUUACUGGGCGUAAAGCGCAUGCAGGUGGUUUGUUAAGUCAGAUGUGAAAGCCCGGGGCUCAACCUCGGAAUUGCAUUUGAAACUGGCAAACUAGAGUACUGUAGAGGGGGUAGAAUUUCAGGUGUAGCGGUGAAAUGCGUAGAGAUCUGAAGGAAUACCGGUGGCGAAGGCGGCCCCCUGGACAGAUACUGACACUCAGAUGCGAAAGCGUGGGGAGCAAACAGGAUUAGAUACCCUGGGAG
rnacentral:rRNA from 1 species